AGUGGAGUGCAAUGGAAUUGGGUUUGGUAUCAAUAGGAUUGACCUGUUGGAUGUGAGAGUAAUCCAUGGAAAGUAAGACUGAUUAUUUUUUGUGUACUGUUUUUGUAUUCUUGGAUGAUGAUAUUGUGGUGCAGCGGGAUCUCACAGCAUUGUGGAAAAUUGAUAUCGAUGGGAAGGUUAAGUGAAAUUUAGUGGGCAGCUUUUAUUUUGUUAUGUGCAGGAUUCACAAUAGCUCAGCUGAAUUCCAA